rnacentral:tRNA from 1 species
GGGGAUGUGGCUCAGUAGUAGAGCACACCUGGGUUCAAUCCCCAGUAUAUCCG